CCUGUGAAUUAGACAAGUGACAGAAAACAUCAGAAAAGGGCACCUGCAGUGCCAUGUAAGGCAGACACAGAUAUCCCUGUGAAUUAGAGGAGUGACAGAAAACAUCAGAAAAGGGCACCUGCAGUGCCAUGUAAGGCAGACACAGAUAUCCCUGUGAAUUAGAGGAGUGACAGAAAACAUCAGAAAAGGGCACCUGCAGUGCCAUGUAAGGCAGACACAGAUAUCCCUGUGAAUUAGAGGAGUGACAGAAAACAUCAGAAAAGGGCACCUGCAGUGCCAUGUAAGGCAGACACAGAUAUCCCUGUGAAUUAGAGGAGUGACAGAAAACAUCAGAAAAGGGCACCUGCAGUGCCAUGUCAGGCAGACACAGAUAUCCCUGUGAAUUAGAGGAGUGACAGAAAACAUCAGAAAAGGGCACCUGCAGUGCCAUGUAAGGCAGACACAGAUAUCCCUGUGAAUUAGAGGAGUGACAGAAAACAUCAGAAAAGGGCACCUGCAGUGCCAUGUCAGGCAGACACAGAUAUCCCUGUGAAUUAGAGGAGUGACAGAAAACAUCAGAAAAGGGCACCUGCAGUGCCAUGUCAGGCAGACACAGAUAUCCCUGUGAAUUAGAGGAGUGACAGAAAACAUCAGAAAAGGGCACCUGCAGUGCCAUGUCAGGCAGACACAGAUAUCCCUGUGAAUUAGAGGAGUGACAGAAAACAUCAGAAAAGGGCACCUGCAGUGCCAUGUAAGGCAGACACAGAUAUCCCUGUGAAUUAGAGGAAUGACAGAAAACAUCAGAAAAGGGCACCUGCAGUGCCAUGUCAGGCAGACACAGAUAUCCCUGUGAAUUAGACAAGCGACAGAAAACAUCAGAAAAGGGCACCUGCAGUGCCAUGUAAGGCAGACACAGAUAUCCCUGUGAAUGAGGAGAGUGACAGAAAACAUCAGAAAAGGGCACCUGCAGUGCCAUGUAAGGCAGACACAGAUAUCCCUGUGAAUUAGAGGAGUGACAGAAAACAUCAGAAAAGGGCACCUGCAGUGCCAUGUAAGGCAGACACAGAUAUCCCUGUGAAUUAGAGGAGUGACAGAAAACAUCAGAAAAGGGCACCUGCAGUGCCAUGUAAGGCAGACACAGAUAUCCCUGUGAAUUAGAGGAGAGUGACAGAAAACAUCAGAAAAGGGCACCUGCAGUGCCAUGUAAGGCAGACACAGAUAUCCCUGUGAAUGAGGAGAGUGACAGAAAACAUCAGAAAAGUGAAAGGUCACCUUUCUCUUUAAACUUGAGAGGUAACAGUAGGAAAAGAAACUCCCAUUCUUCCUGCCCUGUAAGUCAGCUAAUCUUGGACUCAAUAAAACAAUAAUCCAGGGGACCUUCAAGUUUUGACUGUAGUAAGUCCAGUUAAUGAUUAGCCAAUGUCUCCAUGAAUGGUCAGAUCUUGCCAAGGUGGUUUAAUAUGGAGGCUGUCUUUCUUGAUCACUUUGUUCUUGUUUAAUUUAAAUCAACAAGAAACUACAGAAACUAAAGAAUGGAACCUUUUCAUUUAGGAGAUGAAGCAUUGCACCUGUUAAUAAGUACAUUGUUUAGUAGAAGGCUGUUAAAAAUUUAAAAUACAUGCAUCUGCACAAAAACACUCUAGUAUUAGAAUAGGAAAGCACUGAACAGCAUUUGUUAUAUUGUCCUAUGUUAAAAAUCAUGCACGAAGAUUUCAAGGUAUUUGCUACUAAAUAUUUAAAACAAAAAUGACACUGGUAGUAUUUGUGUAUUUAAUUAAUUUCCAUUUGAAUUUUAUUUGAAAACAGCAUUUGCUACACCUUUCUGAGAUGGUCUUGCUCUGUGACCAGACUGGAGUGCAGUGUCACGAUCUCGGCUCACUGCAACCUCCAACUCCCUGGUUCAAGCUAUUCUUCCACCUCAGCCUCCCAAGUAGCUAGGACUGCAGGCAUAAGCCACCAUGCCCAGCUAAUUUUUGUAUUUUUUAUUUUAAGUAAAGACAGAGUUACACCAUGUUGGCCAGGAUCGUCUCAAUUUCCUGGCCUCAUGAUCCACCCACCUCAGCCUCCCAAAGUGCUGGGAUUACAGGCGUGAGGCACUGCACCCAGCCCACAAAUUGAUAUUCUUUAUUGCAACUAGGGGACCACUCUGUGUAGCUAAUAGGUGGUUGUUGAACACUGAAUAUGAAAAGGAAGCCUUUCAAAAGUUGGAAUAUAUGUCUAGUAAUUUGGUUAUAUUCUUACUCUUGAAAAUGCCUUUCCUUGCUUGAUCAGACCCUAACUAGCCGCAGCAGCAAAAAUAAAUCCAUAUCUUUGCAUCAGAGAUGCUCAGUAUAGAGCUUCCCAACCCAGGCUCCUCAUUCAGAAUCAGUGUUAUACUUCACAAUAACAACACAACUAAAAAGUAUGUUUAAAAAAAAGCUCAAAGCUUGUAAAUAAUAUUUUAAAAUCCUUUAAAAAUGUAUAAAUAUACAUGCCUUUUGGCCCAGCAUUCUACUUGCAAUUUAUCCUCCAGUAUCCUAGAAAUACUAUAUUAUGUAUGAUAUAUUUAUGAAAAUAAAUGUAAUACCAAAAGACUAGAAUCCAAGCUGUUCAUGAAUAGGGGACUAAAUAAAUGUUCAUCCAUACAUUGAACCCUUUAGCCAUAAAAAAUAAUGUUUAUCUCCAAAGAAUAUUAUGGGCUGGGCAUGGUGGCUCAUGCUUGUAAUCCUAGCACUUUGGGAGGCCAGGGCAGCAGGAUCACUUGAGGUCAGGAGUUUGAGACCAGCCUGGCCAACAUGCUGAAACCCUGUCUCCACUAAAAAUUCAAAAAUUGUCCAGGCAUGGUGGCAGGCACCUGUAAUCCCAGCUACUCAGGAGGCCGAGGCAGGAGAAUCGUUUGAACUCAGGAGGUGAAUGUUGCAGUGAGCCAAGAUCGCACCAUCACACUGCAGCCUUAAAAAAGAAAAAAAAUAAAAAUAUUAUGUAAAAAAGAAUCAGGGGGCUGGGCAUGAUGACUCACAUCUGUAAUCCCAGCACUUUGGGAGGCCAAAGUGGCAAGACUGCUUGAGCCCAGGAGUUCAAGAUGGGCCCAGGCAGCAUAGUAAGACAUUGUCUCUAGAAAUAAAAUUAAAAUUAAAAAGGUUAGGAACGGCAGCUCAUGCCUGUAAUCCUGGCACUUUGGGAGACCAAAGAGGGCAGAUUACCUGAGGUCAGGAGUUCGAGACUUGCCUGGCCAAUAUGGUGAAACCACGUCUCUAUUAAAAAAUAUAAAAUGAGCUGGGCAUGAUGGUGUGCACCUGUAAUCCCAACUACUUGGGAGGCUAAUGCAGAACUGCUUGACCUGGGAGGCGGAGGUUUCAGUGAGCUGAGAUCACACCACGGCACUCCAGCCUGGGCGAAGAAAGCAAAAACUAGGUCCCCCCAAAAAAGAAUAAAGGUAAAAAAUGGGCACAUUCUACCACCCUUUGUAAAAAGGGAGGGGAAAAUAUGCAUUUGUUUUUGCAUAGAAUACCCCAGAAGGAAACAUAAGACAGUGACAAUGUUGGCUGCCACUAGAGAGGGCAGCUGGAUAGCAGGGAAUGAGAUGGAAAGAAGACUAUUAGCGUUCUUGUGGUUCCAGCUACUCAAGAGACUGAGGUAGGAGGACAGCUUGAGCCUAGGAGGUCGAAGGUGCAGUGAGUUGAGAUCAUGCCACUGCUCUCCAGGCUGUGUGACAGAGUGAGACUGUGGCACAAACAAGUUGUAUCAUUACCUUUAGUCAAGAUCAACUUUUAGUAAUGAUCAACUUAGCCUACAUUUAAAUGUACGGUGACAAAAAGAGCAAGGGUCCUUUCACACAAAGCAGCCUCCAAGCCCAAUCACUCCUGCCUUUCCACUUUUCUAAGCACUUAAAUUUCCAUACACGGAACUGCAGUAUCCGGUGGUCCUGGAAACCUCCAGCACCGAUGAUAUACUUGUUCACCAUGUUUUCAGUAUCCGGUGGUCCUGGAAACCUCCAGCACCGAUGAUAUACUUGUUCACCAUGUUUUCAGUAUCCGGUGGUCCUGGAAACCUCCAGCACUGAUGAUAUACUUGUUCACCAUGUUUUCAGUAUCCGGUGGUCCUGGACACCUCCAGCACUGAUGAUAUACUUGUUCACCAUGUUUUCAGUAUUCGGUGGUCCUGGAAACCUCCAGCACUGAUGAUAUACUUGUUCACCAUGUUUUCAGUAUUCGGUGGUCCUGGACACCUCCAGCACUGAUGAUAUACUUGUUCACCAUGUUUUCAGUAUCCGGUGGUCCUGGACACCUCCAGCACUGAUGAUAUACUUGUUCACCAUGUUUUCAGUAUCCGGUGGUCCUGGACACCUCCAGCACUGAUGAUAUACUUGUUCACCAUGUUUUCAGUAUCCGGUGGUCCUGGACACCUCCAGCACUGAUGAUAUACUUGUUCACCAUGUUUUCAGUAUCCGGUGGUCCUGGACACCUCCAGCACUGAUGAUAUACUUGUUCACCAUGUUUUCAGUAUCCGGUGGUCCUGGACACCUCCAGCACUGAUGAUAUACUUGUUCACCAUGUUUUCAGUAUCCGGUGGUCCUGGACACCUCCAGCACCGAUGAUAUACUUGUUCACCAUGUUUUCAGUAUCCGGUGGUCCUGGAAACCUCCAGCACUGAUGAUAUACUUGUUCACCCAUGUUUUGUAGCAGCUAUUCACAAUAGCCAAGAGGCAGAGGCAACCCAAAUAUCCAAUGAUCCAUGAAUUGAUAAAAAAAAAGUUGAACAUAAUACCAUGGAAUAUUAUUCAGCCUUAAAAAGGAAGGACAUCCUGUCACAUGCUACAACAUGGAUGAAGCUUGAGAACAUUAAGUGAAAUAAGCCUGUCAAAAAUAGACAAAUACUGUAUAUGCCACUUAUAUGAGGUACCUAAAGUAGACAAAUCAUAGAAAAAAGAAUGGUGGUUGCCAGGGGCUGGGUGAAGUAGGGGAAAUGGGGAUUUGUUCACGGGUAGAGUUUCAGUUCUGUAAGGUGAAAAAGUUUUGAAAUCUGUAGCACAAAAGUGUGAAUAAUAGUUGUCACAACCAACUGAACUAUAUAUUUUAAAAUGGUAAAGAUCGUAAAUUUUGUGUUUUUACCAUAAUUAAGAAACAAACAAAACCACAUAUCAAUGAAGGGAAUCGGGUAGAACUCUUCUGAACAGGUCUAAGGAGCUGCAGAAGAAUUGUGUGGCUUCUUUCACACAACUCAGAAGGGGCCAGGAAGUGACUGGGAUCAAGGGCCAUUUUCUCACCUCUUCUCUAGUCACGGAUGAUAUUGAGAAGGGUGGUUACAAACUGGUAGCCUCCAUGCUGCAGAAAGGUCAGUUCUCUCCAAAAUGGAUCUAUGGUCUAAAUGUAAUGGCUAUCAAAACCUCCAUCUGUGUAAGUGUGUAACUCUGAACUGGAGACGCUAAUUCUAAAACUGAUGAGGAAACGCCAUGGGCUAAGAAACUCUUGAAGAACAAUAAUAAGAAGGCUUUCCUCUCACCAGCAUGACUUACAGAUCAUUAGUACAACGUGGGGACUGACACAGGGACAAAUAUACUAAUGGAACAGCAACAAGAGUCCAGAAACACACACUUCCCCAAGCAAACACAAAAAUCAAUUCCAGGUAGAGAAAAACCAAAAUGUGAAAGUCGAAACUAUAAAGCUUAAAAAAAAAAAUAGGCCACGUGGUGGCUCACGGCUGUAAUCUUAGCACUUUGGGAGGCUGAGGUGGGCGGAUCACCUGAGGUCGGGAGUUCGAGACCAGCCUGAUCAACAUGGAGAAACCCCGUCUCUACUAAAAACACAAAAUUAGCUGGGCGUGAUGGCACAUGCCUGUAAUCCCAGCUACUCAGGAGGAUGAGGCAGAGGAAUCACUUGAACUUGGGAGGCGGAGGUUGCCGUGAGCUGAGAUUGUGCCAUUGCACUCCAGACUUGGCAACAAGAGCGAAACUCUUUCAAAAUAUAUGUGUGUAUAUAUAUAUAUUUAAUACAUAUGUAAAUUUUCAAUACAUAUCUAUUUAACAUAUUUUAAUAUAUAUUUAAUAUAUAUUUUAAAUACAUACAUACAUACAUAUAUAUAUAUAUAUAUAUGAGAUUAUCUUUAUGAUCCUGAGGUAGGAGAGGAUUCCUUAUGCAAGAAUCCCAAGAGCAGAUGUGAUGGCUCAUGUCUGAAUUCCCAGGACUUUGGGAGGCUGAGGCAGGCGGAUCACUUGAGGUAAGGAGUUCUAGACCAGCCUGGCCAACAUGGUAAGACUCUGUCUCUACUAAAUAUACAAAAAUCGGCCAGGAAUAGUGGUGGGUACCUGUAAUCCCUUGGGAGGCUGAGGCAGGAGAACUGUUUGAACCUGGGAGGUGGAGGUUGCACUAAGCUGACAUAAUGCUAACAUACUCUAGCCUGGGGAACAGAGUGAGACUCUCUCUCAAAAAACAAAACAAACAAAACCCAAAACAAGAAUUCCAAAGAACUUGUUUAUUCACUCACUAUAAGGGGAAGAAUCUAGCUGUUAACGCAUACUAUGCAAAAAGAUAUCCGAAUAGCCAACAAGUAUAUGAAAAGAUAUUCAAGCUCAGUAGUGAUUAUCAAAAAACGCAAACUAAGAGCCACACAGUAUCAUCAGAUUGACUAAAACUAGUCUGACAAUAUCCAGUGUGGGGAAUGUGGAGAUACAGGAACUCUGAUACAUGGCUUAUGAGAAUGGAAACUGUUAUAACCACUGUAGAAAAUAAUUUGGAAUUAUCCAGUAAGGCUGAAGGAUACUCAUUUUCUAUGAUCAAGUAUUCUUUCCUUUGGGCAUUGGAUCCUGGAGACAGACACCCCGGCAUGUAUACCCCAAGAUUCCUGAACAGGAACUUCACAGCAGCAUUAUUUAUAGUAGCCAGAAACUGGAAAAAAUGUAGAUAUCCAUCCACAGCAGAAAUGAUGAACUGCAGAAUAGUCAUAUAAUGGGACACUGCCAGGGAAUCAUAAUAUACAGCUUCAUGCAAGACAUGGGUAAAACUACAAAUCAUGCUGAGAAAAACCAGUUCUCUGAGCAUCCCCAUUUUUCUAAGAAAAAGACAACGUUAUUUUUUUCUUCUCUUUUCUCUAUUUCCUUCUAUUCCCCACACCCUACUUAGCUCUUUAGAAAUGCAAUUUCUAAGUUUUACCUCCCCUUUUAGCUCCCCUUCACCAGACACUCCCUAAAGGGCAAGUUCAUCUAACAAUCUGCUGAAAAGCUCUGCAGUGGGAACUCUUAGCCACCGGGAGACUGCUUAGAGAGACAACAGUCAAUUUACAACACAGAGUGUCCAUCAGGUGAGACUCUCUACCACCUGCAGAGUUUCAGAGUUUUAGCCACCCUACAACCUACUUCUGCCCAUGAAGAUGCCAACUUUACCACCUAGUAGAUAAGGCAGUGAAGUACAAGAACCUCCACCUGCUUGGUUCCUCUUCUGUGUAUCAUUUAUACCAGGCACACUUUUUAUACUUCUCAUAAAAAGUACCCACUUCCUGCUCCAAAAGUGAAGCAGGACCCUUAAGGCAGGAAGCUUGUACUUCUUCCCCUAACCUAGCUUUGGAAUAAGUCACUUUAUACCACACCUUGCUCUUGUUAAUUGGACUCUGCAAGCACCAAGUACUGAACCUGCAUUGGUUCCAGUUCCACUUAAAAUAAACUUCAUAAACAUAUUUCUCUGACUUUUCAGAGAGUUUAUUAGGUCACCUGCAAAUUAGGUUAUCUGCAGGUUCGCUAAACUUGAAAAUGACAAUCUGCAAGCAAGUGAGCCAACUAUAAACUUAGAAGCAUUCAUUCAUUCAUUCAUUCAUUCAUUCAUUUUUUUUUGAGAAAGGAUCUUACUCUGUCACCCAGGCUGAGGUGCAGUUGGCACAAUCUCAGCUCACUGCAACCUCCACCUCCCAGGUUCAAGAGAUUUUCCUGCCUCAGCCUCCCAAGUAGUGGGGACUACAGGCACCUGCCACCCCACCUGGCUAAUUUUUACAUUUUUAGUAGAAAAGGGGUUUCACCCUAUUGGCCAGGCUGGUGUUGAACUCCUGACCUCAGGUGAUCCACCUACCUUGGCCUCCCAAAGUGCUGGGAUUACAGGCUUGAGCCACUGUGCACAACCAGAAGCAAUAUUUAAAUGAGUUUAAUUCGAGUGGCAGCAAAAAUAAUAGUUUCCAACUACAUAUACUUUUAACUGUUUCAUAAAUCUGUGACUUUAAAAAGUUAGGGAUUGGGCCAGAUUCAGGAGGUCGAGGUGGGUGAAUCACUUGAGCCCAGGAGUUCGAGAAUAGCCUGGACAACAUGAUGAAACCCCGUUUCUACAAAAAAAUGCAAAAAUUAGUUGGGUGUUGUGGUACACAUCUGUAGUCCCAGCUGCUUGGGAGGCUGAGGCGAGAGGAUCAUUUGAGCCUGGGAGGUCAAGGCUGCAGUGAGCUGAGAUCAUGACAUUGCAUUCCAGCCUGGAUGAAAAGCAGAACUCUGUCUCGAAAAUAAAUAAGUUACAAUAAAAUAAAAUUUAAGGGCAUUUUAAAUUAAGUCAUCUUUUGGUGGAGGCAACUGUGUAUUUUCUUUUUUAAAGUACCAGAUAUAAUAAAAACCAAAUAAAAAAGUGACUAUGGCUCUUUUAAAAAUUUAAAAACUCAGCAGAACAGAACUUGAAAUCAUCUUCAUCUCUCAAACACUGAAAGUCACAUUUCUUUGGUUACAGAUUCACUUAAAAAAAUUAAAUGUAAAAGCAAUUUUAUUUUUAUUCUUCACUCCCAGUGCUUCAUUUGACUAGCGUUAAACAUUACUAUUAUUAUUUUGGCAGGGUGUGGUGGCUCACACCUACAUAGUCCCAGCUACUUGGGAGGCUGAGGCAGGCUGCCUGCUUGAGCUCAGGAGUUCAAGACCAGCCUGGACAAUAUGACAAAACCCCAUCUCUACCAAAAAUUAGCUGAGUGUGGUGGCACGUGCCUGUAGUUCCAGCUACUUGGGAGGCUGAGGUGGGAGGAUCGUUUGAGCACGGGAGGUAGAGGUUGUACAGAGCCGAGAUUGUACCACUGCAUUCCAGUCUUGGCAAGAGUGAGCUCUGCCUCAAAAAGAAAGAUUAUUAAUUUUAUUUUUUAAAAUAAUUAUUUGUUGAGAUGAGGUCUUGUUCCUUUGAGCAGGCUGGAGUGCAGUGGCGUGAACAUGGCUCACUGCAGUCUCGACCUCUUGAGCUCAACUGAUCCUCCCACCUCAGCCUUCCAAGUAGCUGGGACUACAGCCACAUCCCACCAUGCCCAGUUAAUUUUUGUGCUUUUAGUAAAGAUGGGGUUUCGCCAUGUUGGCCAGGAUGGUCUCGAUCUCUGGACCUUGUGAACUGCCUGCCUUGGCCCUCCAAAGUGCUAGGACUACAAGUGUGAGCCACCACAGCCGGCCCCAGCUAAUUUUUUAAUUUUUAGCUUUAGUAGAGUCAAGGUCUCACUGUGUUGCUCAGGCUGGUCUCAAACUACUGAGCUCAAGUGAUUCUUCUGUGUUGGUUGUGUUAAAGUUUUUAAAUUGACAAUAAUUACACUGAGGUAAUUUCUAAUUCGAGUUCCAUUAUAGUGAUGACUCAAUUAAUUUUCCUAAAUAAUGGCAAUAAUCUCAUAACUGGAAAAAAGAGAGAAAGCUGAUGCAUGAGAUAAAGCAGGUGGGACUCCAAGCUCCAAGGGCUCCAGUCCUUUCUGGCCAGUCCUCCACUAACUACUUUGCUCCACUGUGCAGCCAAUUCCCAAACACUUUCAGUAGCAAGAUGGGAAGACUUAAUAUCAGGAAAAAUGGAAGGAAAGUCCUCAGAAUUGUCUCUCUCUUUUUUUUUUUUUGAGAGGGUCUUGCUCUGUCACCCAGGCUGGAGUGCAGUGGCAUGAUCUCAGCUCACUGCAACCUCCACCUCCUGGGUUCAAGCCAUUCUCCUGCCUCAGCCUCCCCACUGGGAUUACAGGCGCACACCCCCACACCCAGCUAAUUUUUGCAUUUUUAGUAGAGAUGGGUUUUGCCAUCGUUACACUGCUUCAUUUGUCAGCAACCUGACAAAGCCAAAAUCCCUCUCCAAUAAUAUCCCUCUUGAUAUCAUCACAGUAGGAAAAAUCAGAGGUCGAGUGGGUGAAACAGCAAAGUCAGGGCUCCAGAAGGUACAGGAGGUCAUAACACAGUUCAGAAAGCCAAUAAUUUGUGGCCACUUGCUUUACCAGUAGUCUUGAGAAAUGCGACUUUUCUCCCCAAAUUCUUAAAUUCCAGUUUUAGGAAACGGCAUUGGAUUAAUCAGGAAAUCAGUUAAGAUAAUUUCAGAAUCCCAAGCAGGUCACAAAAUGAACAAAGAUGGCAUUCUAUACUAACUAUUCACCAAUAAUGACUAUGGGCAAGUACAUUUUUGCGAAGCUGGGUAAACUCAGAAAGAAUUUGUUGAAGAACACAGGAGAGGAAUAUUUAUUCCUCAUGGUUUAAGCCAACACUACCCAUCUUUCUAUUCCACAGAAAGUUUUCCUUCGUGGAUACCAGACAGUGUUCAGGGAAAAGAGAAUACUUUGUUCUAGUAACUGGAAAGGCUCACGAUGCAUCUGCCUUUCGUGGUACAUGCAAGACCACAGACGGCAAGAAUUCAGAAUCCAGUAAGGUGCCUGGCACAUGGAAGACCUCCCUAUUCCCUGAGAUGCAGCAAUAUUUACAUUAUGCCAAUUAACAACCCUACAAUGGCGUCUAAGGGUCUAAGUAAAAGGAAGAAUCUCACAUCUUAUUCAAAAUCAAAAGCUAGAAAUGACUAAGUUAAAAGGCAUGUCAAAAGCUGAGACAGACAGAAAUCUACGCCUCUUGCACUGAACAGCCAAGAUGUUGAUGCAAAGGAAAAGUUUCGGAAGGAAAUUAGAAGUGCUACUAAAUGUACUUUUUUUUUUACCAGUGAAUUCACAAAUGGUAAGAUUGCUGAUAAGCAGAAAGUCCGAGUGAUCUGGAUAGGAGAUCAAAAACCAGACAGAAUAUUCCCUUACGCCAAAGCCUAAUCUGAAGAAAGGCCUUAACUGUCUUCAAUUCCAUGGAAGAUGACAGAGGUGAGAAGAUGCAGAAGUAUGAAACCAGCAGAGUUAGCCCACAAUGUCUAAGAAGCUGCCUCUGUAACAGAAGUGCAAGGUGAAGCAGCAAGUGCUGACAGAGAAGAUGUAGCAAGUUAUUCAGAAGGUCCUUGAUGAAGCGGGUUACGGAUUUUGAAUACAAAACAUUUUCAAUAAAGACGAAACAGCUUUCUGUCGGAAGAAGAUGCCAUCUAGGACUUUUGUAGGUAGAGCUUCAAGAACAAGCUGAUGCCAAUGAUCAUUUACCAUUCCCCAAAUCCUAGGGCCCUGUAGAGUUAUGCUAAAUCUCCUGCCUGUACUCCAGAAUGGAACAAAGAAGCCUGGAUAUCAGCAUAUCUCUUUAUAGCAUGGUUUACUGACUAUUUAAGGCCUACUACUCAGAAGAAAAUAAGAUUCCUUUCAAAAUAUUACUGCUCAUGACAACGCAUGUGGUCAUCUAAGAGCUCUAAUGAAGAUAUACAAGGAGAAACAUCCACGUUGGAGCCCAUGGAUCAAGGAGUCAUUUUGACUUUCAAGUCUUAUUAUUUAAGAAACACAUUUCAUAAGGCUAUAGCUGCCAUGGAUACUGAUUGCUUUGAUGGAUCUGGGCAAAGUAAACUGAAAAUCUUCUGGAAAACAUUAUUCUAGAUGCCAUUAAGAACAUUUGUGAUUCAGAGGAGCAGGUCAAAAUAUCAACAUUAACAGGAGUUUGAAAGAAGUUGAUACCACUCUCAUGAAUAACUUUGAGGGGUUCAAGUCGUUGGGGGAGAUUUGGUGGAAAUAUCAAGAGAAUUAGAAUUAGAAGUGGAAUCUCAAAAUGUAACUGAACUGCUGCAAUCUCAUGAUAAAACACGAAUGGAUGAGGAGGUGCUUCUUAUGAAUGAAGAAGGAGAGUGGUUUCUUGUGAUGGAGUCUACUCCUGGUGAAGGUGUGAAUGUCGUUAAAAUGACAACAAAGGAGUUUUAUUCAUUUAUGUUUAAAUAACAAAAAUUAUUUAAU